rnacentral:rRNA from 1 species
AGUGAACGCUGGCGGUAGGCCUAACACAUGCAAGUCGAACGGCAGCACAGUAAGAGCUUGCUCUUACGGGUGGCGAGAGGCGGACGGGUGAGGAAUACAUCGGAAUCUACUUUUUCGUGGGGGAUAACGUAGGGAAACUUACGCUAAUACCGCAUACGACCUACGGGUGAAAGCAGGGGAUCUUCGGACCUUGCGCGAUUGAAUGAGCCGAUGUCGGAUUAGCUAGUUGGCGGGGUAAAGGCACACCAAGGCGACGAUCCGUAGCUGGUCUGAGAGGAUGAUCAGCCACACUGGAACUGAGACACGGUCCAGACUCCUACGGGAGGCAGCAGUGGGGAAUAUUGGACAAUGGGCGCAAGCCUGAUCCAGCCAUACCGCGUGGGUGAAGAAGGCCUUCGGGUUGUAAAGCCCUUUUGUUGGGAAAGAAAAGCAGCAGGUUAAUACCCCGCUGUUCUGACGGUACCCAAAGAAUAAGCACCGGCUAACUUCGUG